AGGACGAACGCUGGCGGCGUGCUUAACACAUGCAAGUCGAACGGAAAGGCCCGCUUGCGGGUACUCGAGUGGCGAACGGGUGAGUAACACGUGGGCAACCUGCCCUCAGCUUCGGGAUAACACUUGGAAACAGGUGCUAAUACCGGAUAAUAACCUUUCAUCGCAUGGUGUGGGGUUCAAAGUUUUUCGGCUGGGGAUGGGCCCGCGGCCUAUCAGCUUGUUGGUGGGGUAAUGGCCUACCAAGGCGACGACGGGUAGCCGGCCUGAGAGGGCGACCGGCCACACUGGGACUGAGACACGGCCCAGACUCCUACGGGAGGCAGCAGUGGGGAAUAUUGCGCAAUGGGCGGAAGCCUGACGCAGCGACGCCGCGUGAGGGAUGACGGCCUUCGGGUUGUAAACCUCUUUCAGCUCUGACGAAGCGCAAGUGACGGUAGGAGCAGAAGAGCACCGGCCAACUACGUGCCAGCAGCCGCGGUAA
rnacentral:rRNA from 1 species